rnacentral:rRNA from 1 species
GACGAACGCUGGCGGCGUGCUUAACACAUGCAAGUCGAGCGGUGAAGGGAUCAGCUUGCUGGUUCUGGAUGAGUGGCGAACGGGUGAGUAACACGUGAGUAACCUGCCCCCUUCUUCUGGAUAACCGCAUGAAAGUGUGGCUAAUACGGGAUAUUCUGCGCCUGCUGCAUGGUGGGUGUGGGAAAGAUAUUGUUUCGGUGGGGGAUGGGCUCGCGGCCUAUCAGCUUGUUGGUGGGGUGAUGGCCUACCAAGGCGGUGACGGGUAGCCGGCCUGAGAGGGUGGACGGUCACACUGGGACUGAGACACGGCCCAGACUCCUACGGGAGGCAGCAGUGGGGAAGAGUGCACAAUGGGCGCAAGCCUGAUGCAGCGACGCCGCGUGAGGGAUGGAGGCCUUCGGGUUGUGAACCUCUUUCGCCAGUGAAGCAGGCCUGUCCCUUGUGGGUGGGUUGACGGUAGCUGGAUAAGAAGCGCCGGCUAACUACGUG